GAUGAACGCUGGCGGCGUGCCUAAUACAUGCAAGUCGAGCGAACAGAUGAGGAGCUUGCUCCUCUGACGUUAGCGGCGGACGGGUGAGUAACACGUGGAUAACCUACCUAUAAGACUGGGAUAACUUCGGGAAACCGGAGCUAAUACCGGAUAAUAUAUUGAACCGCAUGGUUCAAUAGUGAAAGACGGUUUUGCUGUCACUUAUAGAUGGAUCCGCGCCGCAUUAGUUAGUUGGUAAGGUAACGGCUUACCAAGGCGGCGAUGCGUAGCCGACCUGAGAGUGUGAUCGGCCACACGGGAACUGAGACACGGUCCAGACUCCUACGGUAGGCAGCAGUAGGGAAUCUUCCGCAAUGGGCGAAAGCCUGACGGAGCAACGCCGCGUGAGUGAUGAAGGUCUUCGGAUCGUAAAACUCUGUUAUUAGGGAAGAACAAAUGUGUAAGUAACUAUGCACGUCUUGACGGUACCUAAUCAGAAAGCAACGGCUAACUACGUG
rnacentral:rRNA from 1 species